AUUAAGAUGCUGAUUAGACAGCAUGAUUAUUGCACAGGUGUGCCUUAGGCUGGCCACAAUAAAAGGCCACUUUCAUUGAAAGCUCCACAUAUCUGGAUCUCCGUCAUCAAUUUACUUUAGAGUGAAGAAGCCACUUGGAUGAAUCACGAAUACAAAAGUCCUUUUGAUUUUGACCAAAGAUCUUGACUGUCAUUAAGUAAUAAUUAUGAACCUACAUAUGGAGUUUAUUAAAAGCUUGCAUGUGCAAACACAUUUUGCAUGCUUUUUCUAACACACAGGAGAGUAAAGUGGAAAAACACACUCUUUCUUCUCAUUUAAAUUAGAUUUCUAAGUAUAAAAAAAAUGGUCAAAUGCCUGUCUCAUAAACAUUACAUAGAAACACUUGUAUCAACCAAAUGUACACUUUAUAGGCAUUUUAAUGAUGAGGUUGUUGCGUGACGUGUUUGUGUGUGUGUGCG